CUAAGCCAUUCAGCAACAUCCGCUGAAUCUGACGACUAUGGAAAGGGAGUAUUCUACUAUGGCGAACGCGUAAACUGUCAAACGGUGUAAACAAUCCCAAUCAAAACAAACCGCGCUGCGUACGGCAAAGCAACGAAUAGAAUUUGGAUACCGGUCGUUAAAUAUAUCGGUUUUACAAUGAAAACGUGUCGUGCUUGUCUGCAGAAGGAAGCAGAUGAAUAUUGUUCGAUUUUUAAGAAAAUCAACCAGGCGACUCUUGACGAAAUGUUUCAUUCGCUUACCGGUAUAAGAGUUUCCCGAGGUGACGGUUUGCCCGAUUGUGUCUGCCAGGAGUGUUCCGAUUUUAUUGUAAUGUGUAACAACUUUCGGAAAAAAUGUUUAAAGUCAGACGCACAGCUGCGGGCCCUUCUUCCCAUAGAGGAUAGCGAGGGGGAACAUUUCCAAACCACGCAAGACAGCGAGCGCCAAAGUGUUCAAGAAACGGACUGUUCGGAAGAGAAUCCUCUAACAGAAGAGGAAUGCCAGCUAGUUAUGAAAGAUCAUGCAGAUAUAUACGAAGAAGAUUUAUGUUCUGAAACAGAAAUUUUGGUAGAACAACUGGAUGUAGAAGAUGGGAAAAGUAUCAUAGAACAGACAGCUGACCAUGAAUCGUACUACGAGCUUUAUGAUGUUGUAGAGGAUGUUGAAUUUGGUGAAAUAGAAGCGCUUAAUGAAUGUGAAGAUGAUGAUUCACAGGAUGCAAUAAUAGAACGCAUCGAAAGCACACAGGAAACCCAUGAAUCCUCCGUGGACGACCCGGUAGAAAGUACGGUUCAAGCCACCGAGUUCGUUGUUGAGUGCUGCGGCUGUCCUGGUGUGCAGUUCCCUUCCGCUGACGAGCUGAAGCAACACACCGCCCAAGUGCACGAAAACGAACGAAUCCUCACCAACCUACGGCCCUACGAGUGCGACAUUUGCUACAAACGCUUCAUCAGCCAUGCUGCCCUAUCCAAGCACCAGGCCGCACCGUAUCGCAAGAAAAAGUAUAGUUGCCAAACCUGCGGCGCUAGCUUCUGCAGUCGCAGUGCUCUACACGGCCACACCAACAGUGCACACACGCGCGACCGUAAGUACGUGUGCGACGUGUGUCAGAAAGGGUUCUACACCAGCAGUACGAUGCUGUCGCACCGGCAGAUACACGGCGAAAAGAAGUACGAAUGCAGCACGUGCGCGAAAAAGUUUCUGCGCCAGUCGGACCUGCUGAGCCACCAGAUGACCCACUCCGACGAGCGACCGUACGGUUGUGGCGAGUGUGAGAUGCGUUUUAAGUGCCGUAGCCACCUGCGCGAUCAUCAAACCGUGCACACGGGCGAACGUACGAAGAAGUGUAGGAUUUGCGGGAAAGGAUUUGGUACGUACGGCGAUCGGCGUGUGCACGAGCUGCGGCACGAAAAUGUACAUCCCUUCAAGUGUGGCUAUUGCAGCAAAACGUACGGCCGGAACUACAAGCUGCAGGUGCACAUACGGAAAGAGCACACCAAGGAGCGUCCGUUUGCGUGUAGCGAUUGUCCGGAGCGUUUCUUCCAACGGUGGGAAAUGUUGGGCCAUCAGAGGGUUGUGCACGGCAAGAUGGAAGGCAUCGAGAGCGUCGAACUGGAGACGGAGUUGCAUGAUACCUGAAAGCAAUAAACAUAACUUUUAUACUUCACCCAUUAGACAAACAUCUUACCAGAUCGUCUCAAUAGCUUUGUGAGAGAAAAUCGUAAACUAGGGAGAGAGAGACGGAGAAAAAGCUGCUUCCAAGGGAGCUGCUUGUCAAAACGUGAGAGCUGUGUAAAUUUAGCACAUGACUAUGGUUAAGCAAGACCCGCGUGGCGCAGGGUGCGGAAUCUAACGAAACGAGGACUGAUCUCACAGAAACCAAGUAAUCUACUACGUUGCGUGUGAGCGCUCGCCGAUGCUCGGCCCGGCAUCCACGGCAGUAGUAGGUGUACCGUGCGCUAGAAGAUUACUGGCCCUGUCCACGAUGGACACUCACUCACUCGCAACCGUCCGUCGGUGAAUCCGUGUACGCACAUUGUGUGUUGUCAGUAUAGGCCGGGAUUUUAGAGCGUUUGCAUUGCACCGUGCGCCGGUCGUGCAAGCCGUCCUGUUCGAGAUGGUUCCUCACCCGGCAAAGGUCCGACACAGCGAUGAAUGUUUAUUUUUGGAUGCAAUCCAAUUAUAAACGCACCACACGGGACGAAGCUACGCCGGGCGGGAGGUUUGUGAUUUCACGAUCGUGGUGACGAGCGAAAUGCUACGCCGACUGCCGAGGACGGCGGUGUCCUUGUGUGUGGCGGUGGAGUUGAACUAAUGACAACAACAAUCAUCUCGACCGGCCGACGAGAUUGCCGUCACGCCAUUGAGAUUGACCAUCAUCGAAGCGGAUCGAAUCAUCGUCGUCGCGGCGGGUGCUAAUACUCCAAGAGAAUGUUCUCAGCGUUCACUUUUUUGUGUU